rnacentral:rRNA from 1 species
GGCGAACGCUGGCGGCGUGCUUAACACAUGCAAGUCGAACGGAAAGGCCCUGCUUUUGUGGGGUGCUCGAGUGGCGAACGGGUGAGUAACACGUGAGUAACCUGCCCUUGACUUUGGGAUAACUUCAGGAAACUGGGCUAAUACCGGAUAGGAGCUCCUGCUGCAUGGUGGGGGUUGGAAAGUUUCGGCGGUUGGGGAUGGACUCGCGGCUUAUCAGCUUGUUGGUGGGGUAGUGGCUUACCAAGGCUUUGACGGGUAGCCGGCCUGAGAGGGUGACCGGCCACAUUGGGACUGAGAUACGGCCCAGACUCCUACGGGAGGCAGCAGUGGGGAAUAUUGCACAAUGGGCGGAAGCCUGAUGCAGCAACGCCGCGUGCGGGAUGACGGCCUCGGGUUGUAAACCGCUUUCGCCUGUGACGAAGCGUGAGUGACGGUAAUGGGUAAAGAAGCGCCGGCUAACUACGUG